GAUGAACGCUGGCGGCGUGCCUAAUACAUGCAAGUCGAGCGAACAGACGAGGAGCUUGCUCCUCUGACGUUAGCGGCGGACGGGUGAGUAACACGUGGAUAACCUACCUAUAAGACUGGGAUAACUUCGGGAAACCGGAGCUAAUACCGGAUAAUAUAUUGAACCGCAUGGUUCAAUAGUGAAAGACGGUUUUGCUGUCACUUAUAGAUGGAUCCGCGCCGCAUUAGCUAGUUGGUAAGGUAACGGCUUACCAAGGCAACGAUGCGUAGCCGACCUGAGAGGGUGAUCGGCCACACUGGAACUGAGACGCGGUCCAGACUCCUACGGGAGGCAGCAGUAGGGAAUCUGCCGCAAUGGGCGAAAGCCUGACGGAGCAACGCCGCGUGAGUGAUGAAGGUCUUCGGAUCGUAAAGCUCUGUUAUUAGGGAAGAACAAAUGUGUAAGUAACUAUGCACGUCUUGACGGUACCUAAUCAGAAAGCCACGGCUAACUACGUG
rnacentral:rRNA from 1 species